AUGCCUUAAACUUAUGAGUAAGGAAAAUAACAAUACAGGGUGACACCUGAAUCCUCACUGCUAAUGGGAAACAAAUUUUUUUUUUUUUAGUUGAAGUCACUCUGUUGCUCAGGCUGGAGUGCAGUGGUACACUCACAGCCACUGCAGUUUCGACCUGCUGG
rnacentral:snRNA from 1 species